UAUUGGGCAGAAAAGAUCGUCUCGCAUUCUCUCCCACGCACGCGACCUUCUCUCGUUCCACGCGCCAACGCAGCCGCCGCCUCCUCUGCUCCUUUCUCUCUGGAUCGCCAGAUCUGGGACGCCACCGGGAGGAGAUCAGAGAGGCCGCGGCAGAAGCACCAUUCUCGACGAGAUCCUGCACUCAGCGCCGCUACCGCCCUUUUCUCUUGUUUACAUACGCAGCGAUUUCUGUGUUUCCUUUCCAACGAAGGCAGCUCCGCAUCAGGCUGCACACGCACAUCUUCGUCUCCACCUCUCCCCCACAUGCCACCGCCUCCUCUCUCUCAACGCCGCCAGCCGCAGCCGCCUCUUCUUCCUCUCUCUCUCUCUCUCUGCUUGUCCUUGUCUCCCCCCUCGCUGAACAAGGCGCACACGAGCGGCGGUGGCAGCAGAUCUGUGAGAAACAUGGAAAAGGCAGGAGGUGGAAGUCCUCGCGGGAGUCAUCGUCCAUGAAGAACUGGAUCGGAAGCAGUUCGCGGCAUGAGGAGGCCAAGGGCCGGGAAGCGGUGGCACCGGCGACUGGCAAACCUCAUCGGCUACUGCUGCGACGGGGUCGAGCACCUGCUCUUCGCUGAGUUCAUGCCCAACGACACCCUCGCCAAGCACCUCUUCCACUAUUCCACUAUGUCACCGGCCUGCUCUCCCUCCCCUGCACCAGGCUCUUCGACCGGCUCCUUCGCACCGCCUUCCACUUCAAAGUUCAAACAGCUCAAAGACAAGAAAUUCAAGCGUUCUGUGCCUCUUUGAGGUAUUUUUGGCUGUACCAAAUUUCUGAAGAGGGAUGACACAUUCAGAAUUUCAGAUAGACUUGUGUCUUUUUGGUUGUAAUGGCAUAUGCUUGCUACAAUCUUUACUGACAAUGAGCAGUUGGAUUGGAUGCAGCUACACUCUUUAUUAAUGCAAGAAACAAAAGAGCUAUCUGAACUUGCCAAUCAUCACACAUAUAGAUGUUCCAUACUUGUAGCAGAUGUUCUUUGCUGCGAUGUGUGUCACUAAACUUAGCACCAACCAUGGAACAAGCUGCUAAACCGAACUCAUCAUCUGCAUUUGCUAGGCCUCAUUUUAUAGAACAAGAAACCGGCAGCAGUCAGAAAAUUACAUGCUUAUAGUAUGUACUAACAGUUGAAAACAUAUGCAGUUUGACUAUGUAUAUGAUCCUCCUGUUUACUUAUUUAUUUAUUGUCUCAAAUGUAAAUCUGUGAGGUUCACCCUGGCCGUUGUCAAGUCCUGACCAUGGCCACACUGCAGAAACAUCAAAUUCUGUUGAUGUCGAUUUUAUUGAUGAUAAAUGUCAGGUAUAAUCUUCUAUCUCCUUUUCAGUUACAUGUAUGUGUGUCUUUAUGUUCCGUGUUUCAAAUUAAAGCAUACAUCUUUCCCUUUUGUGAGUCUCAAGUGAGCUUCUACGGGUAUUCUCCAAUUAUACACCUACUGGCUAUAUAUUUCCCUACCAUGUUGCUUUUCCACCUCAAAUACCGAACUGAAUAUUUAUGUUUGUUAGAAGCUUAUGUAUGAUCAGACCUGAGACCUUAAGUCCAAAAUCACUGAUGUGCCACCCCUGACCAUGGUGUGUCCAUGAAGGGCUAGGAAUUUAUGUUCUAAUGUGAUCUAUUUGAUCUGUAGCCAGACGAAAUGCCGGCAUGCCUGUGCAGGUUGCCACUGAGCACUCUUAAUUUGGACAAGCUUCUUGAAACGAUUGUAGACUACUUUAUCUGUUGACUACAUUGUUUAAUCUUUUUUUUGAGCUUAUAUAAUAGUUUCCGUCUCAGCUAUUGGCACUACAAGAUAUCCUAAUAUAUAAUGUUUUGCCUGCCAGAAAUAUUGAUGAUAUUAUUGAUUACAGUAACAAAAAAAACUCUUACCUAUCCCUUAUUCUAUAUAUCUGAUUUGGAUUAUUUGAGGAAGUAAACAUUGGAAACGCAGUUUAGUUAAUAUUGGGUUCAUUUCUUUGGAGCGCUAAGCCAUGUAUUUGCAAUUUUAGUAACAGACUUAGUUUGUGUAAAAGAGAUAAGCGUUUGCUAGCUUUUUAGGCAUUAAAGAAAAACAAUGAAUCCCUUGCUACAUAUGCUAGGGUGAUGUCCAGGUAAGGCCUUGGCUUCCUUUGUAAAGAAGCGAGUAGCCAUUCUACUUUUGUGUAAGCUGAACAUAUGUUUUGAUGUAUUUCUUCAGUGAAUAACACCAGAUUUCCGUAGACUUGGCCUAUUUAUAUUGUGAUAUAUUUACAUAAUGCAUUCACCAAGUAAAUCACAAAGUAUGAUUCUAUACUGGAAAGGAACCGCUCAAAUCUGAUGUCCAUCAAAUACUUGGGUCAAUUGGUGCCUGUUCUUUGUUGCCCUCAGUGUGUUUUAGUUAUGAUUUUGCACCUUAUUGUGUUUGAUAAUCUAGGUAGAUUGAUUAUGCUCCUCGGUCAUGGUAUGUCUGACUGUAGGUGCUUCAUGGUUUAUAGAUUAAUGCCUCUAGAAAUAACGAACUUGUUGAGUGAAUUUGGAUCAGUAAAUGUGACUGAUGAACAAAGACCGCAAAGAAAGUAUGAUAUUUGUCGUCUUAUCAAUCCAUGUCAUGUAUUUAUGAACAUGUGUCAUGUGGGGCCAGCCCUAUAG
rnacentral:rRNA from 1 species